GAAGUGCGACAAGUGUCAUGACUUGCAGAUUCCCGAGAGCUGACAAAUUUCUGAAUGCAAAUGGCGGUCGUUACAACGGCCAUGUAUUGCAGAGUGUAGUUGUUCAUACACAUCAUCCCCUCCCUCUUCAAACAAACCCGGAUCUCCAAUGAUGCGGGCGGAGGGGGAGCGAUAGGGAUCUGCGCUUGCGAUUCCAACCACGCGAGCGUGAAACAAAGGAGUCUCCAUAUGUCUCCAAAAGAGACAUGUGGAAGCAACUUCGGAUUCAUUGAAGAAGUUGUCGACAAACGGACUCUUUAUUUCUAUACAGCCACCUCUGCGAUGCAGGAGAACCCGCUGAACUUAA
rnacentral:misc_RNA from 1 species